UCAGUUCACGAAGAUUUGCCGCACUCUUCUCUCACCCGUAAGUUUUGACAGUUUUGGGUGGUUUGUUUUGGCUCCCAUUCGUUGCUAUCUCUUUUACUCAGAAGCAAAAUGAUAGGGAGCAAAAAGUGAGGUUAGGGACCGUGCAUUGAUCUAUAUGAGAUGAACAGCCAAGUGCAAAAAAUCUCAAUAAAAAAUUAAUUAAAAAAAAAAACUAACGGCAAGAAGUGGAUCAAGGGCAUCAAGGCACAUAAGUUCGGUUGCUUGAAAUUGGAUAGUAAUAAAUCCCGAUGAUUGAGCUGUAACUGCUCACAAAGGGAAUUCCGCAAAUAUUGAUCCUUUUCCGGACAAUUUAAUCCGGAUGAAAAACACGCUUGCACCAUGCAGCGGCGAAUCAAUCAGCCAGUCUAUCUGAUGUCGUUUUCGUUUUUGCGGUGUAGCUACACCGGUGCUACACUGCCGUACACCGAAAUAAUUUAUGCUGGGUUUAGACUAGGCAAGUCAAAUGAUCAACUCAGUUGAAUUCAAUUGGCUUGCAAAGUUGAGCCUGGUUCAACUUUUUUCAAUUCAAGUGAGUUGAUCAAGUCAGUUGAAUGGCAUGGUUUACACGUUCAAUUCGCGUUCAAGUCAGUUGAAUUCAACUGACUUGAUCAAUUGACUUGCCCUGUUUAAACCCAGCUUUAAGGUGUAAAUAUAGGAUACACCUUUGUUUACAAACAAAUGAUGUUGAGCUGUCAAAGACUCGUGUUUAUUCCUGCUUACACUACACCGGUGCUACACCGCAAAAACGAAAACGACAUGAGACAUUUCGUUGCUCUACAGUGGUGCAAAAUGUUAGAGAAGGUCCUGGCAGGUUUAGCUGACGGACGCUGAGAGAAGUGCGCUCAAUUAGUACUACGAGGAUCUCAAGUGGAAAAUUUCUAAAAAACUGC